rnacentral:rRNA from 1 species
UACGUAGGUGGCAAGCGUUGUCCGGAUUUACUGGGCGUAAAGAGCGCGCAGGCGGUCGGAUAAGUCGAAUGUGAAAGCCCCUGGCUCAACCAGGGAGGGUCAUUCGAUACUGUUCGACUCGAAGGCAGGAGAGGGAAGUGGAAUUCCGGGUGUAGUGGUGAAAUGCGUAGAUAUCGGGAGGAACACCAGUGGCGAAGGCGACUUCUGUGCCUAGUCUACGCUGAGGCGAGGAAAGGCUAAGGGGAAGGCAACUAGGGGAACGUUAAGGAAAUCCAUGAUAC